AUGCAACCCACUAAGCCAACCGGGUUCCUUCACUGGCAGGAGUUUGGUUUGCAGUGGCUGUGAGCAGUAUCUCUCUUGGUAAUAUAGCAAGUCUAUUUCUAUAUGGAUUGGCCUAUGGGACCUCGGAGACAACG
ensembl:snoRNA Gm25391 small nucleolar RNA SNORA70